rnacentral:rRNA from 1 species
CGGCGGACGGGUGAGUAACGCGUGAGGAACCUGCCUCAAAGAGGGGGACAACAGUUGGAAACGACUGCUAAUACCGCAUAAGCCCACGGGUCGGCAUCGACCAGAGGGAAAAGGAGCAAUCCGCUUUGAGAUGGCCUCGCGUCCGAUUAGCUAGUAGGCGGGGUAACGGCCCACCUAGUCGACGAUCGGUAGCCGGACUGAGAGGUUGAACGGCCACAUUGGGACUGAGACACGGCCCAGACUCCUACGGGAGGCAGCAUG